AUUGAACGCUGGCGGCAUGCCUUACACAUGCAAGUCGAACGGCAGCACGGGGGCAACCCUGGUGGCGAGUGGCGAACGGGUGAGUAAUGCAUCGGAACGUGCCCAGUAGUGGGGGAUAACUAGUCGAAAGAUUAGCUAAUACCGCAUACGACCUAUGGGUGAAAGCGGGGGAUUCGCAAGAACCUCGCGCUAUCGGAGCGGCCGAUGUCUGAUUAGCUAGUGGCGGGGUAAAGGCCCACCAAGGCUUCGAUCAGUAGCUGGUCUGAGAGGACGACCAGCCACACUGGGACUGAGACACGGCCCAGACUCCUACGGGAGGCAGCAGUGGGGAAUUUUGGACAAUGGGCGCAAGCCUGAUCCAGCCAUGCCGCGUGCGGGAAGAA
rnacentral:rRNA from 1 species